AAAUAUGUAAAAUUGUUACCUACGAAGUUUAUUUUAUGUUGAGUUGGACGAACAUGUCAAAAAUAUUUUUAGUAUAAUUGUCUUACCACACUUAUUAAACCUUAUUCUGCUAAUAACAAGAUCUCGUUAAGAAAACAGAAGUUAUGGUCUAAGAGCCGGCAUUUGAAAUAUAUACCCUCAUCUGUUAUUUAUUAGUGAUAUGAAAUAAAUGAUAAUACAUAUUCAUAUUCACAGGGACAUUGCAAAUAGGUUGCCUAUACUAAAGCCAUGCUCGAUGACUAGCAAUUAUAGCUACCCUCUUGUUUAAUUUGUUUGUUGCUAAACAGUGCACAUCUAUUCGAUGUGCACAAUUGCGGCCAGACACAUUUAUCAUACAAAAUCUAGCAAACCAUGAACUAGACCAUCAAAGGCUAUAUAAUAUAUGAGGGUAUAUAAAUACCAUGAGUCAACUGUUUAUAUAAGGCUGUUUACGUCAUUGGUUAUGGGGAAGGAGAUUAAAUAAAUUUAAGAAAAAAAUAUUUAAUAAUACCCUUACUAUACUACUAUGUGCAAUGUGUCAAUAUGAAUAUUUUCUAUCAUUUACUUAUCCCAAAUAAAUAACAGAUGAGGGUAUAUAUUUGUUACGCCGGCUCUUGUACUAUGCGUAAGCCCGUAACCCAGUUGAAUGAACGACCACCAAACUUGGUACCUUUAUUUAGUGUGGUUUAGACCUUAUGUUUAAUGUAGUCGAUAUAGAAUGUGCAAUGUUUAGAAAUUAGUAAUUUGAUGUUUAAUGCCAAAACAAUUUUGGUUAAUUAAUUAUCAUACUAAGUAGUGAAUUGUUCCAAUAAAUUAAUUAAUUUUA
rnacentral:lncRNA from 1 species